GCUGGGCAUGGUGGCUCAUGCCUGUAAUCCCAGUACUUUGGGAGGCUGAGGCGGGUGGAUCACCUGAGGUCAGGAGUUCGAGACCAGCCUGACCAACAUGGUGAAACCCUGUCUCUA
ensembl:misc_RNA Metazoa_SRP Metazoan signal recognition particle RNA